rnacentral:rRNA from 1 species
AGGAAAAGAAACCAACAGGGAUUGCCCCAGUAACGGCGAGUGAAGCGGCACUAAUUUGAAAUCUGGCCCCAGGCCCGAGUUGUAAUUUGCAGAGGAUGCUUUUGGCGCGGUGCCUUCCGAGUUCCCUGGAACGGGACGCCAUAGAGGGUGAGAGCCCCGUACGGUUGGACACCAAGCCUUUGUAAAGCUCCUUCGACGAGUCGAGUAGUUUGGGAAUGCUGCUCUAAAUGGGAGGUACAUUUCUUCUAAAGCUAAAUAUUGGCCAGAGACCGAUAGCGCACAAGUAGAGUGAUCGAAAGAUGAAAAGCACUUUGAAAAGAGGGUUAAACAGCACGUGAAAUUGUUAAAAGGGAAGCGCUUGUGACCAGACUUGCGUCCGGUGAAUCACCCAGCUCUCGCGGCUGGGGCACUUCGCCGGCACAGGCCAGCAUCAGCUUGCCGUCGGGGACAAAAGCUUCAGGAACGUGGCUCCUCUCGGGGAGUGUUAUAGCCUGUUGCACAAUACCCUUCGGCGGGCGAGGUAGCGCUCCGCAAGGAUGCUGGCGUAAUGGUCAUCAGCGACCC